UGGGGAAUAUUGCACAAUGGGCGCAAGCCUGAUGCAGCCAUGCCGCGUGUAUGAAGAAGGCCUUCGGGUUGUAAAGUACUUUCAGCGGGGAGGAAGGCGAUAAGGUUGAUAACCUUGUCGAUUGACGUUACCCGCAGAAGAAGCACCGGCUAACUCCGUGCCAGCAGCCGCGGUAAUACGGAGGGUGCAAGCGUUAAUCGGAAUUACUGGGCGUAAAGCGCACGCAGGCGGUAUGUCAAGUCGGAUGUGAAAUCCCCGGGCUCAACCUGGGAACUGCAUUCGAAACUGGCAGGCUAGAGUCUUGUAGAGGGGGGUAGAAUUCCAGGUGUAGCGGUGAAAUGCGUAGAGAUCUGGAGGAAUACCGGUGGCGAAGGCGGCCCCCUGGACAAAGACUGACGCUCAGGUGCGAAAGCGUGGGGAGCAAACA
rnacentral:rRNA from 1 species